AGUGGCCUACCAUGGUGGCAACGGGUAACGGGGAAUUAGGGUUCGAUUCCGGAGAGGGAGCCUGAGAAACGGCUACCACAUCCAAGGAAGGCAGCAGGCGCCGCAAAUUACCCAAUCCCGAUACGGGGAGGUAGUGACAAUAAAUACUGAUACAGGGCUCUUUUGGGUCUUGUAAUUGGAAUGAGAACAAUCUAAAUCCCUUAACGAGGAACAAUUGGAGGGCAAGUCUGGUGCCAGCAGCCGCGGUAAUUCCAGCUCCAAUAGCGUAUAUUAAAGUUGUUGCAGUUAAAAAGCUCGUAGUUGAACCUUGGGCCCGUCCUGCCGGUCCGCCUCACCGCGAGUACUGGUCCGGAUGGGCCUUUCUUUCUGGGGAAUCCCAUGGCCUUCACUGGCUGUGGCGGGGAACCAGGACUUUUACUGUGAAAAAAUUAGAGUGUUCAAAGCAGGCCUUUGCUCGGAUACAUUAGCAUGGAAUAAUAGAAUAGGACGUGUGGUUCUAUUUUGUUGGUUUCUAGGACCGCCGUAAUGAUUAAUAGGGAUAGUCGGGGGAGUCAGUAUUCAGCUGUCAGAGGUGAAAUUCUUGGAUUUGCUGAAGACUAA
rnacentral:rRNA from 1 species